UACGAAGGGGGCUAGCGUUGCUCGGAAUUACUGGGCGUAAAGCGCACGUAGGCGGAUUCUUAAGUCAGGGGUGAAAUCCCGGAGCUCAACUCCGGAACUGCCUUUGAUACUGGGAAUCUUGAGUUCGGGAGAGGUGAGUGGAACUGCGAGUGUAGAGGUGAAAUUCGUAGAUAUUCGCAAGAACACCAGUGGCGAAGGCAGCCCCCUGGGAUAAUAUUGACGCUCAUGCACGAAAGCGUGGGGAGCAAACAGG
rnacentral:rRNA from 1 species